rnacentral:rRNA from 1 species
AUUGAACGCUGGCGGCAGGCUUAACACAUGCAAGUCGAGCGGGGUGAUGGUGCUUGCACUAUCACUUAGCGGCGGACGUGUGAGUAAUGCUUAGGAAUCUGCCUAUUAGUGGGGGACAACAUCUCGAAAGGGAUGCUAAUACCGCAUACGUCCUACGGGAGAAAGCAGGGGAUCACUUGUGACCUUGCGCUACUAGAUGAGCCUAAGUCGGAUUAGCUAGUUGGUAGGGUCAAGGCCUACCAAGGCGACGAUCCGUAGCGGGUCUGAGAGGAUGAUCCGCCACACUGGGACUGAGACACGGCCCAGACUCAUACGGGAGGCAGCAGUGGGGAAUAUUGGACAAUGGGGGGAACCCUGAUCCAGCCAUGCCGCGUGUGUGAAGAAGGCCUUAUGGUUGUAAAGCACUUUAAGCGAGGAGGAGGCUCUUUUGGUUAAUACCCAAGAUGAGUGGACGUUACUCGCAGAAUAAGCACCGGCUAACUCUGUGCCAGCCGCCGCCGUAA